GAUGAAGAACGCAGCGAAAUGCGAUAAGUAGUGUGAAUUGCAGAAUUCAGUGAAUCAUCGAAUCUUUGAACGCACAUUGCGCCCCUUGGUAUUCCAUGGGGCAUGCCUGUUCGAGCGUCAUUUGUACCUUCAAGCUCUGCUUGGUGUUGGGUGAUUGUCUAUCUUUAUAGACUCGCCUCAAAGUCAUUGGCAGCCGGCAUAUUGGCCUGGGAGCGCAGCACAAGUCGCGCUUCUUGUCAUGAAUGUUGGCGUCCAGUAAGUCUACAUAUUUUGCUCUUGACCUCGGAUCAGGUAGGGAUACCCGCUGAACUUAAGCAUAUCAAUAAGCGGAGGA
rnacentral:misc_RNA from 1 species